rnacentral:rRNA from 1 species
GAUUAUGGCUCAGAACGAACGCUGGCGGCGCGUUUAAGCAUGCAAGUCGAGCGGCAAGGGCCUUCGGGCCCCUAGAGCGGCGGACGGGUGAGUAACACGUGGACAAUCUGCCCCCCGGCCCGGGAUAGCCCAGGGAAACCUGGAUUAAUACCGGAUGAGACGGGACCCGCGACGGCGGGAUCCGGGAAAGGCGCUGCGGCGCCGCCGGGGGAUGAGUCUGCGUCCCAUUAGCUAGACGGCGGGGUAACGGCCCACCGUGGCGACGAUGGGUAGCCGGCCUGAGAGGGUGGACGGCCACAUUGGAACUGAGACACGGUCCAGACUCCUACGGGAGGCAGCAGCUAAGAAUCUUCCGCAAUGGGCGAAAGCCUGACGGAGCGACGCCGCGUGAACGAAGAAGGCCGUGAGGUUGUAAAGUUCUUUUCGGGAGGGGGAACAACCGUGGCAGGGAAUGGCCGCGGGAUGACGUGAAUCCCGGAAUAAGCCCCGGCUAACUACGUGCCAGCAGCAGC